rnacentral:rRNA from 2 species
UGGGCGUAAGGGCUCGCAGGCGGUUUCUUAAGUCUGAUGUGAAAGCCCCCGGCUCAACCGGGGAGGGUCAUUGGAAACUGGGAAACUUGAGUGCAGAAGAGGAGAGUGGAAUUCCACGUGUAGCGGUGAAAUGCGUAGAGAUGUGGAGGAACACCAGUGGCGAAGGCGACUCUCUGGUCUGUAACUGACGCUGAGGAGCGAAAGCGUGGGGAGCGAACAGGAUUAGAUACCCUGGUAGUCCACGCCGUAAACGAUGAGUGCUAAGUGUUAGGGGGUUUCCGCCCCUUAGUGCUGCAGCUAACGCAUUAAGCACUCCGCCUGGGGAGUACGGUCGCAAGACUGAAACUCAAAGGAAUUGACGGGGGCCCGCACAAGCGGUGGAGCAUGUGGUUUAAUUCGAAGCAACGCGAAGAACCUUACCAGGUCUUGACAUCCUCUGACAACCCUAGAGAUAGGGCUUUCCCUUCGGGGACAGAGUGACAGG